GGUGCCUCGGCACGGUCGUGUUUUGGGCGCCCGAAAAUGCCCCGGGGGCUGCCAUAUGCUCACGAACAGCGUCUCCUCACACCCGAGCUCGGGCGAUAGGAAAAGUUACAUAUCCGCCCGCGACGUGAGCCUUCAGCACUGGCCCCCCAAAACCGUGGGACAUUUUUUCCCCCUUCCAAGGCUGCAGCUUACACGGUGCUUCUGUCGCGUUGGAGGAAAGAGAUGCGCUCGGGGCUGCGUUGCAGGAGGGCAAACAUGACCCUCAUUCCCCGCAGAGGGUGUUGGGGGGGAGGAGCGGUGGGUAGAUGAUGUCCUCGAGAUUAUCUGGAACUUUCAAGGAAAAACCUGUGAUUUAUUUAAAGGCAGGAAGCCGACAGCGUCGCACACGGCUCUGGAGCGCAGGCCGUGGCUCCGAAGCGGGCGACGGGGCGGUGCGGGCAGCUGGGCUGCGGUGGCGGGGAGGCCCCGCCAGGCCCCAUGCCCCCUGCGACGCGACGCGGCCCCGCGAAGCCCCUGGCCCUCGCCAGGGCGCCGUGGGGAAGGGAGCGGCUGUUGACGGCGCCAGCGGGCAUGUGGCCGUCCCGUGGCCACGCAGCCGUCCCACGGCCACGCUGGCCCUUUCUGCACCCAGCCUCCAAUGCCAUCAACAUGUCUGUGUGGUAACAACAUAGCUACUAAUACAGGAGGGAAAUUUUGAGAAAUCAGUUUCAGCCUAGCCUUUAUGACGUGUCCUUCACUUCCUUUGCUGCCUUGAUUUUCACUCACACUUAAUUACAGGUAUUACGAGCAAGCCCGGUGAAGUCCACGUCUCCAUUCAUCCAUGAGGAUGUGCUCAUCCAUGGAGGACGGGGACCCAGAGUUUAUGAGUCUGUGAGUUGGGGCCACACAACGACACUCUUACAUGUAUAUUCCAUAGAUAGUGGAAACAUCCUUCCUGAAGACAAUGGAAGACACAGACCAAAUAAAGAAGGAAAUCUGGGUCAAUGAAAAUUAAAAAAUGGAGUCUAAACCAAAAUAUCUCUGCAGUAUGGAAAGGCACUUAGUAAUGACUCUGAAUUCAGAAUUAAUCACAGAAUUACAGAGGAGAUUAAUCAUUCCUUCCCACAGCAAGGGUGGCAGGAAAUGGUAGAGAAGAGAAACAUGCUGAAACCAGCUGUCGCAGUAUCCUGUCUCCAUGGGAAGGAGAAUCUUGCAAGAACAGCUAUCCAAAUAGGUGCUUCUGGAUCUGGAGAGGAGACAUACUAGACAUCUGUACAACUUAUUGUGCAGUAUCAUACACAAAUUUGAUUUUGCUAAGUCCAGUUUCACAUCACCAGAUUUUAGUGGAUUUUUCAAUGUAAAAACUAUGUUACACAUUGUAAAGAAAUGUGAUGAGAACAAUGUGUUUUAUUAAGUGUUAUCUACCGAUAUUUUUGAAGGAAAAAAGAAAUGUAAAAAGACCUUUGCCUGUGCUUAAAAACUAAUUUCAACUUAUAUUCAUAUUUUACUCUUAUUUUAAGUGACUAGCUAAAUUAAAAAACCUACUGGUAAAAAUAUGCCUCAGUAAAGAGGAAAUGCUCCCCAAGAUUCAGCAUUAUGUUGUUUCUGCAACACAUUAAGUUAAUCCUUAAUUGAUACAAGGAAAAUAGUUUCACUUACAUUGACAGCUACAGAGCAAAAUUAUUUUCUGCAACACCUAACUAACUUUGAAAUGAAAGUUAAUGUCAUCCCACUUAAAUGUAUGCUGUUAACUAUUUAAAUCCUGUCCUAGAAUAAACAUUCAGUUUACUAUGCUAUCUUACACAUAUGUGAUAGACAUGUGUGCUACAGGAGUCUUCUUCAUGUUUAUUUUUUCAUUGUUGUGGCAUUAAUUGCUCUACAUACAUAUUUUUCCUUGCAAAAAGCAUGGCACAGCUUUUUGCGCUAUUUAUAUCAUACCAUCACCUUUAAAUUGGAGUACUUGCACUUACAGAAGAAAUGAACAUGCAGAAUUUCUUUUACUUUUCUGAAAACCGCAAAAGAAUUUCUCUGUCAGAGAAAUUGUCCAAACAAGCUGCCAGAGGAAGAACAGUUGCUGUGGCCAAAACUACAGCUCUGUUUUAAAUGAUGAUCCCAAAAUCUUGGGACAUGGAAGGUAGUGUCUAUUACGUGACUUAAAGAGCAGCUCUGAAGGAACUCAAAUACAAUCAAACGUUUGGGAGGGAAUGUCACUGUACUUAGUCCCGCUCUAUACACAGCGUGCAGAAAUGCUUCUGUUGCUUUCAAAACUUGUGCUUCUAUUCACACAGAAUUCAAGAGUCAAAAAAAGACCACAACCUGACCUAAUUAGUCAGAGAGAGACAACAAUUAGAGUCCACUUUUCUACUUCCAAAGUAUUGCCUGACAAACCUGUAUUCUUAAAAUACCAAAAUCAAAACCAAGAACAUAUUCCUGAGAAUUGCCAAAUACCUACCAAUAUCAACUAGAUGGGACUGGUAAGAGCUUGGUUUCUUGCAAGAUAAAAAAUCAGUUAGCAAGAUGGCUAGAUGUCAGGUUUUAAUCUAAGUAUUUGUAAUUACCAAUUUAAGGAAAAAAUAAAAAGCAUACCAAGGUUUAGAUUUAAAAUCUCCACAUUGUCCUUCACAAGAAAGGUGAGGAUGAAGUAGUACAUAUUUUCUUAAGUUAUCGAAAGUAAAAAUCAAGUAUAAUGAAAGCACAUCAAGAAACAACUGUACAAUUUCUGAACUGCACUGUUUAUUUUGCUGCUUGAAACCUAAAGUGACAGUAUGCCACUAUAAUUAUGGGGUUUCUUCUAAACCUUUACUACACU